rnacentral:rRNA from 1 species
UACGAAGGGGGCUAGCGUUGCUCGGAAUCACUGGGCGUAAAGCGCACGUAGGCGGAUUGCUAAGUCAGGGGUGAAAUCCUGGAGCUCAACUCCAGAACUGCCUUUGAUACUGGCGACCUUGAGUCCGGGAGAGGUGAGUGGAACUGCGAGUGUAGAGGUGAAAUUCGUAGAUAUUCGGAGGAACACCAGUGGCGAAGGCGGCUCACUGGUCCAUUACUGACGCUGAGGUGCGAAAGCCAGGGGAGCAAACGGG